GCAGCCUGAUCCAGCCAUGCCGCGUGCAGGAUGACGGUCCUAUGGAUUGUAAACUGCUUUUGUACGAGAAGAAACACUCCAACGUGUUGGAGCUUGACGGUAUCGUAAGAAUAAGGAUCGGCUAACUCCGUGCCAGCAGCCGCGGUAAUACGGAGGAUCCAAGCGUUAUCCGGAAUCAUUGGGUUUAAAGGGUCCGUAGGCGGUUUAGUAAGUCAGUGGUGAAAGCCCAUCGCUCAACGGUGGAACGGCCAUUGAUACUGCUAAACUUGAAUUAUUAGGAAGUAACUAGAAUAUGUAGUGUAGCGGUGAAAUGCUUAGAGAUUACAUGGAAUACCAAUUGCGAAGGCAGGUUACUACUAAUGGAUUGACGCUGAUGGACGAAAGCGUGGGUAGCGAACAGGAUUAGAUACCCUGGUAGUCCACGCCGUAAACGAUGGAUACUAGCUGUUGGGAGCAAUCUCAGUGGCUAAGCGAAAGUGAUAAGUAUCCCACCUGGGGAGUACGUUCGCAAGAAUGAAACUCAAAGGAAUUGACGGGGGCCCGCACAAGCGGUGGAGCAUGUGGUUUAAUUCGAUGAUACGCGAGGAACCUUACCAAGGCUUAAAUGUAGUUUGACCGAUUUGGAAACAGAUCUUUC
rnacentral:rRNA from 2 species